rnacentral:tRNA from 1 species
GUCGAGAUGGCAGAGCCCGGCAAAUGCAAAAGGCCUAAGCCCUUUUAUCCAAAGGUUCAAAUCCUUUUCUCAACU